GAAUAUUUAAAUUAUCUCCUCCCACUGGUUAGCAUAACAAAUGAGGCGGAAGUUUGUUUAGUCCAUAAUAGUCAAACACAGAGAUCUCAGAUCUCAAUUGUUGAUAGACUAUCGUUGCUACGGUGACUGCCAACGACCACCUUUGAAACAUAACUGAAACGCAACUCACGGCUGCUGCUGACAAGGGCAUUCACCUCUUUAUUCGUAAACCCAUUUUAUUUUUUGGUGGAUGAAAACAUUGUGUCAAUAUGCUAUGUCUAUGUUCGCCUUAUUCACCCGGAACGUUCUAAAGACGUUGGGGGUACACUUCAGGGGUACAUUCGGCAACGCACCAGCUGUCAUGCCGCCUCACUGUUGUGUGCCCAAAUGUUCGUCCUCAAAGAGAAAAAAAUCCUACCGUGGACAGACUUUCCACCGUUUCCCCAAAGAGCAGGCACUUCGCCGUGAAUGUAUAAAUCACAUCAAGAGGGAUCCUGGUCCAUAUUUCAAGAUCAACGCUGAGACCAAGGUUUGCUCUGAGCACUUUGAGAAGCAGUGUUUUGUAAAGACCGCCCGUGGUAUCACAAAGCUUAUAAAGGAUGCCGUGCCACUUUGUUCGCCUGAACUUCAGAGAGGCCAAAGAGGAGAAUCAUCAUUCGCAGACCGAGAGAUGAUGACCCAUUCCUGAAGUUGGACGCCAGAAUGGAGGAAGGUGCUGUUUAAGAGCCUAGGCGGUGGAAGAAGCACUUGCAGGUAUGCUACUAACCAGGCUCCUCAACAUCAAUCCGAGACGGAAGAUGAACCGGGAUGAAGCAGUUAGAUUGAGACAAGGCGGCCGGAAACUUUGAUGACCUCAAUGACACUGGCUAGGUGAAGGACAUCAAGAAAAUGGCAUCCGGUCACCAGACAUCAGCUCAUAAGCCACAACGUCAUCAACCAUUUUGCGCCAAAAAUGAAGCCGUUCACAUACCAUGGCAUCCUAAGCAGGCAGCACCACACUACUGUGCAACAGUGAGAGAGAGCGGGCAAGGACAAGUAAAACGGACCUACACUACAGCAAGACUUUGACACUUCUCCGCGUGAGAGGCAGCCAUCGCCCCCACCGUUAAGCAGUGUGUACCCAGUACCCCCAAAAGAGGAGAUGAUCCGACGCCAUCACAGCCGAUUUCCAAAAUUGUACACCAAACUCUGUAUGGGCGUGUGUGUGUGUGUGUGUGUGUGUGUGAGAGAUAUUGUAAAACUUUUCAGUCCUUCUUCUAUACUAUACAGUGUAUAAAUAUACAUGUGAAAACCUAAAUAUGCAUUAAAAACCAUUACUGAGGUUAAGAAAUGCAUUAUAACAAAUACAUCUGAUUCAGGUGUACUGUACAUUGAAAUGUCUUUAUUUGCCACAAAUACAUCACAUCCUGGAAACCUGUACAAUGUGUGGAUUCAAAGGUCUGACAGAUCUUUGUGACGGCACAGGAUUGCAGUGGAACCCAAACAUAGCUUAGGAACUCCCCCACAUAGCGUAGGAACUCCCACGCCAUCUCACCAACUGCCGAUAUGCAGUAUGCCUGAAUUUCCUGUACAGCAAAGAAAUGUAGAGAUUGUGCCUUCAUCGAGAAUAGGUCAUUUGGAAUCACAACAAUUAUUCAAUGUACUUUGUGCGUGUGGUGUAGCUAUUGCUGUUAUUAUUAUGUUACUACUAGUGACCCAUUUUUAGUUGAGCUUAAUAGUCUACAUGCCAUCUCUGCACUUGUGUUACCACUAUUGGGAUUGGCAACUCCCUAAAUGAAAAUGAGAAAAACUUGCCCGGAUGAAAUGUUAUGAACUGUGUGCGUUGUGCUGCUUGCUGAAGUAACAUGACACCCACAUCACCUUCCAGAAAUAAAGUGUAUACAGGCUACCUAACCAGAGUCCUGGAGACCUGUUGCUGCUGUGUGAUGAAAUCCAGGCAAAGACCCACCUGCUUUGGCUGCAACAUGUAAAAAAGGUAGACAGAUUAGGCCCCUGUAGAUAUGGCAUGUGUAGAUGGAUUCACUUAAUUCUUUAACCACUUGAAUGGCUUGGGUCAGACAAGCUGGGCUGCACACUGACCUCUUCCAUGUUGCCCAUGUGGUUUCGUUGGCUGUGUGUGACCACCUCCGUACAGGGGCAGA